AACCUGGUUGAUCCUGCCAGUAGUCAUAUGCUUCGUUCAAGGGCUAAGCCAUGCAUGUCUCAGCGCAAAUGGAACAACAGUUGGUCUGUGAAUGGCUCCUUACAUCAGCAGUCAUCCAAGUGAUGGAGUGUGCACACCACCGUCCGCAGGUGGUCAUUUGGACAUCCUCCAAAACCUAGUGGCUAAUACACGGAAGCAACAGUCUGCCACAUCAAGUUGGCCUGUCCCCUGAUAGGCUGACUGUGGUGGAUUGCACCCAGCUGGCUUCAAGACCUGCGCCUGCAAAGGCAGCAUGAUGGAUGUUGACUCAGGCUGGUCCUUCUGGACACAGCAUUGGCAAGUAAAAGUGAGCAAUCAUUGCUUGCUUGAUCACUCGAACUUCUGACCUAUCAGCUCUGACUGUGGUGUAGUGGACCACAGUGGCAAUCACGGGUAACGGAGAAUUUGGGUUCGACUCCGGAGAGGCAGCCUGAGAGACGGCUACCACUACCAAGGUGGGCAGCAGGCGCGCAAAUUGCCCAAUACCAAAGCUCAAGGUGAGGCAGCGACGAACUGCAGCAAUUCUGCUGGUAUCACUACCAGCUGAACUUGUAAUGGAUGCUAUCCAAACACAGUGAUGAGUAGCCACUGGAGGGCAAGUCUGGUGCCAGCAGCUGCGGUAAUUCCAGCUCCAAGGGCGUAUACUAACAUUGCUGCGGUUAAAACACUUGUAGUCCGCCACUGGGUGCAGGUCUGCUUGGGGCCAGUGCUGGGUCUGGUUGGUCUGUGGUGUCAAAGCCAUGAGCUGGCUGGGCUUGGUCUGGAUCCAAACCCCUUGCAGUAUGUUCCUGUACCCUCCAUCCCAAGUUGGUGAGAUCUGCUCCUGCCCAAAGUCUCCUUCACUGGAGGCCUGAAGCGGUUGUACACUGCAUGCUUGUGUGGACACCAAGUGGCCAGCAGCCCCGUGCUCUGGAUGAACCACUGUCCACCACCGGAGCCCACCAGCGUUGACACCCUGGAAAACUCAGUGUGCUCAAAGCGUCCAGCCUUGGCUGAAUGCUCAUCCAUGGAAUGUCAAAGCAUCGACCGAACCUGGCUGUGGAGUUGUGCAGGCCUUGGAGCCGGUUCUGGAGAAUGUGGUGCUGCACCCAGGCUGGGAAGAGCUCUUGCCACUCGUGGCUUGGGUCUCAGUACUGGUCUGGUGUUGCAGUUACCUACCGAAGAUGAUGGGACUGCUCAGGGUGGAAGGUAUGUGAGCGCCAGAGGUGAAAUUCUUAGACCGCUGACAGACCAACUGCAGCGAAGGCGUUCUGCAAGGGCAUGUUCGUCGAUCAAGAAUGAGAGCGUGGGGAGCGAAGAUGAUCAGACACCAUCGUAGUCCACUGCUGUAAACUAUGCCAGCUCGGUCUUGGUGAGGCAAGACUCAUGACCUCAUCAGUGCCAUACCCCCUGCAACGAGAAAUCCAAGCCUGUGGGUUCCGGGGGGAGUACGGUCGCAAGGCUGAAACUUAAAGGAAUUGACGGAAUGGCACCACAAGGCGUGGAGUAUGCGGCUUAAUUUGACUCAACACGGGGAAUGUUACCAGGUCAGGACAUUGCCAGGAUGGACAGACUGCUAGCUCUUGCUUGAUCCAGUGGAUGGUGGUGCAUGGCCGCUCCUGAUUGGUGGAGUGAUUUGUCUGGUUGAUUCCGAUAACGAGUGAGAUCUCUGCCUUCCACUAGCCCCAGUCUCGCAAUUGGUAGGAUGGACACUUGGAGUGCUUGGCCUGGGUGGUGUCAAAGCCAUCUGGUGUCAGUCCCUUGUUGUUCUCCGAGAGCUCUGGGUUGCUUCUCUGAGGUGCUGUGUACACUGCCAAGUGCACGCAUGCUAGAGCCAACAGCAGGUCUGUGAUGCUCCUAGAUGUCCUGGGCCGCACGCGCACUACAUUGACACAGUGAAGGUGUGAUGCUCCUCCUGGAGCCCUGCCCAGACGUGGGUGGGAAACCCUGCAAGCCUGUGCUGUACUGGGGAUAGAUGAUUGCAACUGUCUGCCUUGAACGAGGAAUGCCUAGUAUGCGUGAGUCAUCAGCUCACACAGAUUGCGUCCCUGCCAUUUGUACACACCGCCCGUCGUUGCUACCGAUGGCAGCUGGAUAGAGCCAUCAGGAGGCCAAGGACACUUCUGUGUCCCAGUUGAAAUUGGGCAAUGUCCAGCUGCUAAAGGAAGCAAAAGUCGUAACAAGGUUGUUGUAGGUGAACCUGCCAGAAGGAUCAA
rnacentral:rRNA from 1 species